rnacentral:rRNA from 1 species
UCAAGAAUAUUCCGCAAUGCGCGAAAGCGUGACGGAGCGACGCCGCGUGCAGGAAGAAGCCCUUCGGGGUGUAAACUGCUUUUAUAAGGGACGAAUUCGUGACGGUACCUUAUGAAUAAGAGGUUGCUAACUCUGUGCCAGCAGCAGCGGUAAUACAGAGACCUCAAACGUUAUCCGGAAUCAUUGGGCGUAAAGGGUCCGCAGGUGGCUUUAUAAGUUGAUGGUUAAAUUCUGGGGCUUAACUUCAGAACCGCUGUCAAAACUGUAGAGCUUGAGGCUGGGAGAGGCAAACGGAACUGCCGGUGUAGUCGUAAUAAGCGCUGAUAUCGGCAGGAACACCAAAGGCGAAGGCAGUUUGCUAGAACAGUUCUGACACUCAGGGACGAAAGCGUGGGGAGCG